UACGAGGGGGGCAAAUGUUGUUCGGAAUCACUGGGCGUAAAGCGCACGUAGGCGGAUUGUUAAGUCAGGGGUGAAAUCCUGGAGCUCAACUCCAGAACUGCCUUUGAUACUGGCGAUCUCGAGUCCGGGAGAGGUGAGUGGAACUGCGAGUGUAGAGGUGAAAUUCGUAGAUAUUCGCAAGAACACCAGUGGCGAAGGCGGCUCACUGGCCCGAUACUGACGCUGAGGCACGAAAGCGUGGGGAGCAAACAGG
rnacentral:rRNA from 1 species